rnacentral:piRNA from 1 species
CCCAGAACUGCUGUGAAUCUAGGUGGUUGG